GCGGGCGUGGUGAAAUUGGUAAACACAAGAGACUUAAAAUCUCUCGGUCUAACGGCCUUGCCGGUUCAAGUCCGGCCGCCCGCACCA
rnacentral:tRNA from 1 species